CCCACCUGCAGGGUUGUGAGAAUUACGUGGAAUGAGACAUGCAUCAUGUCCUGGGUAGUGCUUGGCAGGUGGCCCUCAUUAUUGUUACAUAAUGAAGCAUUGAGCAGUUACUGAACACCUGCUGUGGGCCCAACACUGUGCUGGGCCUUGCGGAUGAGGCCAACCUGGGACCAGAACAGCCUUUGGCCUCAGCAGGCUCACAGUCUAAGGAGUAGAGGGGCACAUGUGAGGAUGACACCCCCGUGCCCCGCCCACACCCAGAAUUGCCAUGGAAAGGUUGCUUUGGGGGAUUCAGGAGCCUGGCCUCACCUGGCCCUACCUAGAGUCGAGAGGAGGUCUCUAGGCUGAGGGCAAUCCCUGUGGCCCUCCUGCAGGACAGCUAACCCCCGCAUCGGUGACGUGAUCCAGAAGCUGGCCCCCUUCCUGAAGAUGUACAGUGAGUAUGUCAAGAACUUUGAGCGAGCGGCUGAGCUGCUGGCCACCUGGACCGACAAGUCUCCACUCUUCCAGGAGGUUCUCACUCGCAUCCAGGUGAGGCUGGGGGAGGGCUGGAGUCAGCAUUGCCACCCGCAGCGUGCAGUGGCUCAGGUUGCCUUGAGUGAUUUCUGGCAUCUCCCGGGCUCAGCUGCUUCCAUAGGCCCCUGCCUACUCGUCUGGCCCUCAGGGUCAGCCUGACCCACCUCCCUUCUCUCACCCUGUCCGUGUUGCUCCCCUAUCCCUCCCCAAGAGCAGCGAGGCUUCGGGCAGCCUGACCCUGCAGCACCACAUGCUGGAACCAGUGCAGAGAAUUCCACGCUAUGAGCUGCUGCUCAAGGAGUACGUCCAGAAGCUGCCAGCCCAGGCCCCAGACCGGGCCGAUGCCCAGAAAGCCCUGGACAUGAUCUUCUCAGCUGCCCAGCACUCCAAUGCAGCCAUCACUGAGAUGGAGCGGCUGCAGGACCUGUGGGAGGUGUACCAGCGCCUGGGCCUCGAGGAUGACAUAGUAGACCCCUCUAACACCCUGCUCCGUGAGGGCCCGGUCCUCAAGAUCUCCUUCCGCCGCAACGACCCCAUGGAGCGCUACCUUUUCUUGUUCAACAACAUGCUGCUCUACUGUGUGCCCAGGGUGAUCCAGGUGGGCGCCCAGUUCCAGGUGAGGACCCGCAUCGAUGUGGCCGGGAUGAAGGUGCGGGAGCUGAUGGAUGCUGAGUUCCCCAACUCCUUCCUGGUGUCCGGGAAGCAGCGCACCCUGGAGCUGCAAGCCCGGUCCCAGGA
rnacentral:sRNA from 1 species